UACGAAGGGUGCAAGCGUUAAUCGGAAUUACUGGGCGUAAAGGGUGCGUAGGCGGUUUGUCGCGUCUGUCGUGAAAGCCCACGGCUUAACCGUGGGUCUGCGGUGGAUACGGGCAGACUAGAGGCAGGUAGGGGAGAAUGGAAUUCCUGGUGUAGCGGUGGAAUGCGCAGAUAUCAGGAGGAACACCGAUGGCGAAGGCAGUUCUCUGGGCCGUAACUGACGCUGAGGAGCGAAAGCGUGGGGAGCGAACAGG
rnacentral:rRNA from 1 species